rnacentral:rRNA from 1 species
CCUACGGGAGGCAGCAGUGGGGAAUAUUGCACAAUGGGGGAAACCCUGAUGCAGCGACGCCGCGUGAGCGAAGAAGUAUUUCGGUAUGUAAAGCUCUAUCAGCAGGGAAGAUAAUGACGGUACCUGACUAAGAAGCCCCGGCUAACUACGUGCCAGCAGCCGCGGUAAUACGUAGGGGGCAAGCGUUAUCCGGAUUUACUGGGUGUAAAGGGAGCGUAGACGGCAAGGCAAGUCUGAUGUGAAAACCCAGGGCUUAACCCUGGGACUGCAUUGGAAACUGUCUGGCUCGAGUGCCGGAGAGGUAAGCGGAAUUCCUAGUGUAGCGGUGAAAUGCGUAGAUAUUAGGAAGAACACCAGUGGCGAAGGCGGCUUACUGGACGGUAACUGACGUUGAGGCUCGAAAGCGUGGGGAGCAAACAGGAUUAGAUACCCCAGUAGU